GAUGAACGCUGGCGGCGUGCUUAACACAUGCAAGUCGAACGUGAGAAUAGCAAUAUUUGAAAGUGGCAAACGGGUGAGUAACACGUGGGAACCUGCCUCGAAGUGGGGGAUAACGAUUGGAAACGGUCGCUAAUACCGCACGGUUCUGCUCUGAUGGGAAUGGAGCAGAUAAAGAUUUAUCGCUUUGAGAGGGGCCCGCGGCCGAUUAGCUAGUUGGUAAGGUAAAGGCUUACCAAGGCGAUUAUCGGUAGCUGGUCUGAGAGGACGAUCAGCCACACGGGAACUGAGACACGGUCCCGACUCCUACGGGGGCAGCAGUGAGGAAUAUUGGGCAAUGGGCGAAAGCCUGACCCAGCAACGCCGCGUGGAGGAUGAAGGCUUUAGGGUUGUAAACUCCUUUUGUGGGGGAAAAGAAUGGAUGGUACCCCAAGAAUAAGUCACGGCUAACUACGUG
rnacentral:rRNA from 1 species